rnacentral:rRNA from 1 species
AUGGCGGCAAUUCCAGAAGUUGUCACUGAGCUCGCCAUCUUCCCCGGCGUCCCCUUCACCACCAAGGCCCAGGAGGUCUUCGAGGUCCUCCAUGACACGUCCUCUGCCUGCAUCAAGUUUGCGCCUAUAACAUGUUCGACGGAAUGCUCGCAGCAGGUUGCCACCACCGACUUUGGCAACAAAGGACGUGACGCCCCUACUGCCAUCUUCCUUGAGCAUGCGGUCGACCUCAAGGACAUCACGCCCAACCCUCCAAUGGCCGAACCGGAAGACCAGAAGGAGUACCAGGCUGUUGACAUCACCAUCGAUGUCAAACUUGCCACCCCUGUACCUCCGAUGCUCUCGAGGUACAACCCUGGCAUUGCCAACAACUACGCUGACGUUGCUGAUGCAUCCCUGAUUUUGUGGGUCACACGCCCGGCGCAAUCGGUGCCUUCGGUUGCCCUCGUCCACGGUGACGACCGGGUGCAGCCAACUGCAUGCACAGAGCAUCGACCACAUGGCGUUCAUCUUGUUGUUGAGAGCAAAGGCUCGCUCCUGCCACCAUUGCGGAAGGAAACUGAACCACAGCCAUGGCCGCCUCCCAUUCAAGUGCAAAUUGCAGGGAACAAUGAUAUUCAGGUACUUGGCAUAGCCACGACUGAUGAUGUUGGCUAUGUGUGGUGGCCACCUGACUAUCAACCAAGGUUAUGGAGCGAAUUGCAAAAAUGGCUACUUUCCAUACUGAGAUUUGUUACAACUCUGAAUCUACAGUUAAAGGGUCAGGUGCUACGCCCAAUGUCGUGUCCGUCGUUCGAGUGUCAUUCGGAAUCAGCCUGUUUACGAGCUGCUUUGGCAAACUUUUGGUUCGCGUUCUGUUCUACUGGGAACUCUUGGAGUUAUUGGCAAAAUGAACAUAUACAACAGUGGCGUCCACCUGAUGAAGCAGAGCUUAGGAGCAUGAUUCUAAGUUUCUUGUUUCCUAUGGAUGUGUCUCAUAUGCAGAGCAGUUGGUUCCAUAAGCAGUCUCCUUAUUCUCUUCAACUUGGGAAGUUACAGAAAUUCAUAGAGACAUCAUGUGACCUGAAGCCAUGGCCUUCCUUUGUAGUACGUCCAGAUGGAUGGUCGUUUAGACUUACAUGGUCACCAACUCAAGAUCUUAUGCCAUGGAAUAAUUCUUUACACUCGUUAUGA